UGUUUACUACACAAGAAAGCCCAGAAUGUGUACUCUGAGCACAGGGUAGUUUCCCAGCAUGACGACUUCUUAAUUUCGCUUUUCUUUUUGAGCAACAUCUCACACUCAUCUCUUCCCCUGCGUUCCCCUCCCCCCUCUCUCACCAUCUAAACAUGUGAGUUAUAUAUAUAUCUGUGUGUGUGUGUGUGUGUGUGUGUGUGUGUGUGUUGCUCAGGCUGUUUGUGUAAGAGAGUCACACUGUGGUGUAACUAUGGCCUCUCCUGCUUUCUGCAGCUCCUCCUGUGACUCUGAGCUCAUGAAGGACCCAGUGUGGUAAUAGCACACUGACCCCCACUUCAGUAGCAGCUGUAAAAAGCGGAGUAAAUCGGGUGCUGACACAGGCACGGAAAUACGCUCGUGCGGAGCUGCAAAACAGGGACCAGAGCGGAGCUCGGGGACGACCCGCGGAGUCCGGCCGAAGCGAGAGCGAAUUCGGCCGCGCUUGUUCCUGCGCCAACGAGUCCUCGGAGCGGUGACGUGCGGUUCUGCCCGCGGUCGAGUCGAGCGAAGGCCGACGGCCCCGGUCCAUAGCGUACGAGCCGCUCUACAGCAGCCGCUACCUGACCCCCGUCCUGGAGACGUUCCGCACCCCCCAUCGGGGCAAAGGCGACUACUGGAUGAGUCCACAGAGGUACCACCUGGCGGGGUCCUGCUGGCGCUCCCCGAAACGUCACCUGCUCGUCUUCCCGGGGAACACGGGAUUCUCCGACGUGCCGUCGAGUCACCUGGCGGGACACUGCAGCCUGCGCACGAGCCUCACGUGAGUGCGUCCCUUCGGCGUGCGGCUCCGUUGCGCCUUCAGACGGCGUGAGGUGGAUCCUGAG
rnacentral:lncRNA from 1 species